rnacentral:rRNA from 1 species
CCAUGCAGUCGACGAUGAAGCCCUUCGGGGUGGAUUAGUGGCGAACGGGUGAGUAACACGUGGGCAAUCUGCCCUUCACUCUGGGACAAGCCCUGGAAACGGGGUCUAAUACCGGAUAACACUCUGUCCUGCAUGGGACGGGGUUGAAAGCUCCGGCGGUGAAGGAUGAGCCCGCGGCCUAUCAGCUUGUUGGUGGGGUGAUGGCCUACCAAGGCGACGACGGGUAGCCGGCCUGAGAGGGCGACCGGCCACACUGGGACUGAGACACGGCCCAGACUCCUACGGGAGGCAGCAGUGGGGAAUAUUGCACAAUGGGCGAAAGCCUGAUGCAGCGACGCCGCGUGAGGGAUGACGGCCUUCGGGUUGUAAACCUCUUUCAGCAGGGAAGAAGCGAAAGUGACGGUACCUGCAGAAGAAGCGCCGGCUAACUACGUGCCAGCAGCCGCGGUAAUACGUAGGGCGCAAGCGUUGUCCGGAAUUAUUGGGCGUAAAGAGCUCGUAGGCGGCUUGUCACGUCGGAUGUGAAAGCCCGGGGCUUAACCCCGGGUCUGCAUUCGAUACGGGCAGGCUAGAGUGUGGUAGGGGAGAUCGGAAUUCCUGGUGUAGCGGUGAAAUGCGCAGAUAUCAGGAGGAACACCGGUGGCGAAGGCGGAUCUCUGGGCCAUUACUGACGCUGAGGAGCGAAAGCGUGGGGAGCGAACAG